AGGACGAACGCUGGCGGCGUGCCUAAUACAUGCAAGUCGAGCGGACUGAUUCGGAGCUUGCUCUGAUGAUGUCAGCGGCGGACGGGUGAGUAACACGUGGGUAACCUGCCUGGCAGACUGGGAUAACGCUUGGAAACGAGUGCUAAUACCGGAUGAUCUCUUGGACUGCAUGGUCUGAGAGUAAAAGGAGCUUUUGCUUCACUGCCAGAUGGACCCGCGGCGCAUUAGCUAGUUGGUGAGGUAACGGCUCACCAAGGCGACGAUGCGUA
rnacentral:rRNA from 1 species